GAAGGAAGGAAGGAAGGAAGGAAGGAAGGAAGGAAGGAAGGAAGGAAAAAAGGAAGGAAGGAAGGAAGGAAAAAAGAAAGAAAGCCUGGAUACCACAUCAUCAAGGAAAACUGCCAUGAUGUCUUUGAAUAAGAGGGAAAAGGAAAAAUUGAGAGAAUCUACUUUUCACCUCCUGAAAGAGACCCCAAAAUAAAAUACCUCAGGACAAGUAUAGCCAAAUUCAAGAACUCUCAGGCCAAAGGGAAAGUUCUAUAAGCAACCAGAAGGAAACAAUUUAAAAAUCAUGGAGUCACAGUCAGGAUUACAUAGGACUUAACAGCAUCUACAUUAAAGAAGAUGUGGAAUCUGAUUUCCUGAGAGACAAAGGGCCUAGGACAACAACCUAGAGUUACAUACCCAGAAAAACUGAACAUAAACCUUCAGGGGGAAAACUUAACAUUCAAUGAAAUGGAAGAAUUUCAGACUUUCUUUACCAAAAAGUCAGAACUGAAAAUUUGAUGAACAAAUUUGAUACUGAAGAGAACAGAAAAAAGACUCAGCUGAAGCACCACCUUCUUCAUGAAGCCUUUCAAGAUGCCCUCCAGCUACUGGUAGUCUCUUCAAAAAAAAUUACCAGCCUAGAGGAACAUGAUGAAAACUUAUCAUGUGACACUUAUGAGGUUAAAAGAGCUCCCUCGGCCGCCAUCGAACUUCACAAACUGCCUGGCAUCCCAGAAUGGAACUAGGAGAUGAUGGGCAACAGAGGACUGCCUAAAGAAUUACAACCAUUCAGAAGUUGACCAGCAUGACUUAUCAGUCUAUAAAGGAUGACUUUUAUGGAGAAACUCCAUUGCUAUUUCAGAAUUCUCUCGUCCCCAUUACACGUCGAACAUGUGGAAAUUGUUCUCUGGAAAGUACAGGUCAGAAGCUAUAUCUAGAGUCUUUGAAUGGAUUCAGAUAUUGAAAAAUGGGAAAAAUAACAUAGCCCAUGCCAAGCUACUUGGCGUAACCUGCCAAAGGUGCCUACUUUUCUGGAGGGAGUAACCAAGGAAUACUGGGCAAGAAUCCAUAAGGAAAAAAAGAAAGAAACCUUUAUUAAGCACCUACUAUGUGUCAGGCACUGCGCUGAACACUGAGGAUUCAAAAGACGGUAAAAGGCAGAUGCUGUUUCAAGGAGCUCACAGUAUAAUGAAGGAGACAACAUGCAAAUAGCUACAUACAAACUAGUUAUAGACAGGAUAAAUUGGAGAAAAUCAACAGGGACGUGGUAUGGGCUAUUAGGCAUUAA